rnacentral:lncRNA from 1 species
AUAAUUCAAGCAUGCUUGGUGAUCUCAAACCAAUCACAAGGAGUCCCACCCAAAGGCAAAGGGAACCAAGAUGCUAAAGAUCCUUGAGGCAAUGCAAAUGCAAUGUUAUGAUGCCAUGAGGGAUCUUAGGGUCAAAAUUGGGGUCUUACAAAUGCCCCUAUUUAAGGUCAUUCUAGCCGGAGAAGUGAAGGUUAAAAUCUUC